CCUACGGGUGGCAGCAGUGGGGAAUAUUGGGCAAUGGGCGCAAGCCUGACCCAGCAACGCCGCGUGAAGGAAGAAGGCUUUCUGGUUGUAAACUUCUUUUCUUAGGGACGAAGAACGUGACGGUACCUCAGGAAUAAGCCACGGCUACCUACGUGCCCGCAGCCGCGGUAAUACGUAGGUGGCAAGCGUUAUCCGGAUUUAUUGGGUGUAAAGGGCGUGUAGGCGGGAAAGCAAGUCCGAUGUGAAAACUCAGGGCUCAACCCUGAGCCUGCAUUUGAAACUGUUGUUCUUGAGUGCUGGAGAGGCAAGCGGAAUGCGGGGUGUAGCGGUGAAAUGCGUAGAUAUACGGAGGAACACCAGUGGCGAAGGCGGAUUGCUGGACAGUAACUGACGCUGAGGCGCGAAAGCGUGGGGAGCAAACAGGAUUAGAUACCCCAGUAGUC
rnacentral:rRNA from 1 species